rnacentral:rRNA from 1 species
UACAGAGGUCCCAAGCGUUGUUCGGAUUCACUGGGCGUAAAGGGUGCGUAGGCGGUUGGGUAAGUCUGAUGUGAAAUCUCACAGCUUAACUGUGAAACUGCAUUGGAUACUAUCCGGCUAGAGGAAUGGAGGGGAGACUGGAAUUCCUGGUGUAGCGGUGAAAUGCGCAGAUAUCAGGAGGAACACCGGUGGCGAAGGCGGGUCUCUGGGCCGUAACUGACGCUGAGGAGCGAAAGCGUGGGGAGCGAACAGG